rnacentral:rRNA from 1 species
GUAGGUGGCAAGCGUUGUCCGGGAAUUAUUGGGGCGUAAAGCGCGCGCAGGCGGUUCUUUAAGUCUGAUGUGAAAGCCCACGGGCUCAACCGUGGAGGGUCAUUGGAAACUGGAGAACUUGAGUACAGAAGAGGAAAGCGGAAUUCCACGUGUAGCGGUGAAAUGCGUAGAGAUGUGGAGGAACACCAGUGGCGAAGGCGGCUUUCUGGUCUGCAACUGACGCUGAGGCGCGAAAGCGUGGGGAGCAAACAGGAUUAGAUACCCUGGUAGUCCACUCCGUAAACGAUGAGUGCUAAGUGUUAGGGGGUUUCCGCCCCUUAGUGCUGCAGCUAACGCAUUAAGCACUCCGCCUGGGGAGUACGGCCGCAAAGGCUG